rnacentral:misc_RNA from 1 species
CUUAUAYGAUGGCAAUCGGUAGUCUAAACAUCCCACUUCGCCUUUCGUUGCUCCUUCUUGGGUCGACGUAGGGUGAACCAUGAAGCAAUCUCUGUGUCCCACUCCGCUCACAUUCAAUUGUGCCUGUGGAYUGGUCCAUAGAGUGUUCGCUUGUGCUCUUGGAUGCGGUGCAUGAUAUAUGGGCACGAGGGCUCACGUCCUCUUUCUGUCCGAACAAAAGCUUUCAUCGCUUGGUUGCGAACGAUUGCGAGCCCCGUCUCGAGCCUUUUGGCAAGUGCGGUGCUCGCUUCGUGUAGG